rnacentral:rRNA from 1 species
AACGAACGCUGGCGGCAUGCCUAACACAUGCAAGUCGAACGAGACCUUCGGGUCUAGUGGCGCACGGGUGCGUAACGCGUGAGAACCUGCCCUUAGGUUCGGAAUAACUCCCCGAAAGGGGUGCUAAUACCGGAUAAUGUCUUCGGACCAAAGAUUUAUCGCCUUUGGACGGGCCCGCGUUGGAUUAGCUAGUUGGUAGGGUAAAAGCCUACCAAGGCGACGAUCCAUAGCUGGUCUGAGAGGAUGAUCAGCCACACUGGGACUGAGACACGGCCCAGACUCCUACGGGAGGCAGCAGUGGGGAAUAUUGGACAAUGGGCGAAAGCCUGAUCCAGCAAUGCCGCGUGAGUGAUGAAGGCCUUAGGGUUGUAAAGCUCUUUUACCCGGGAUGAUAAUGACAGUACCGGGAGAAUAAGCUCCGGCUAACUCCGUG